GCCGCGAGGCAGAGCGAAUCGCUAAAAGCCGUCCCAGUUCGGAUUGCAGGCUGCAACCCGCCUGCAUGAAGUUGGAAUCGCUAGUAAUCGCGGAUCAGCAUGCCGCGGUGAAUACGUUCCCGGGCCUUGUACACACCGCCCGUCACACCAUGGGAGUCGGUAACACCCGAAGUCGGUAGCCUAACCGUAAGGAGGGCGCCGCCGAAGGUGGGAUUGAUGACUGGGGUGAAGUCGUAACAAGGUAAC
rnacentral:rRNA from 1 species